rnacentral:lncRNA from 1 species
GGCACUCACCUGUGUCACUGUGCGGGGAGGGCAGGGUCUCGCCAGCAGCCGGUGGCACAUGCGGGCGGCACGGGGGCUGCGUGGUGGCCUCUGUGAUGUCACCUGGCAGAGGUGCCUGAGCUGGGCCCGGCGUGGAGGGCAUAGGCCUCACUCUCUGACUGCCUGACAGUCCCUACAGUGAGCGGGACCCCCUUAUUAAGGCUGUGGGGCAGAGUGGGGUGACAGGUGUUGAGGGGUGGGGCCCAGCCCCGGGCACCCGCAUGUUCCUCUCUGCCCCUGGGAGAAGUGUUGAGAGACGGAGCUCGGGAUCAGCUGGCAUAUCCACCAUGUUCCAGGGUCGACCAGGGAGCACAGAGCCCUGAACAUCCCUUCAACAGCGCGCCACACGCUCCUGGCACAAACUCCAGACCACGGCACAGCACCCAGAUGGCUGCAGCCACGCAGCAAGGACCCCCACCCCAGGGCUCCAGGCCUCGGGCUGCUGCCUGUCUGAUGUGAGCGUCCUCACCCUGUCCAGAAACCCACAACUGCCAGGACCGUGGGGUGACAGCCACGGUGGGCUCUGCAGGCCCCUCUGGUCUAAGACACCAGGAGGCCACAUCCAGCAACCAAGGCCACCCGGCAGGACACGUCAGGAUGGAGGUGCAGUGAAGACUGCGGUGGACGCCUCCAGAGGUUCCCACUUGGCUUCCAGUGGAGCCUCUGCCAAACCCGGCCUGUGCAAGGGCAGAGACAAGGCCCAGCAGGGCUCGAGCAGGCCCAAACGCACGACGCAGCUGCUGUGCCUGGGUCUGAGCUGCACCCACAGUUUUCCUGGCGUCUUGUCCUCUGGAUGGGCCUCUGGAUGAACAUAAACUCCAGGGAAGCUGCAUAGAAUAUGCAGCUCUUCUUUAACGCUCCCUAGAGGAAGAAAGCCCCUCAGCCGGAAGUAUUGUUGACGUCGCCGCCACUACUAAUGAAAUAUUUACUGAAAAGCCAAAGCGAAACAUUUUUCUAGUUAAUUAAAACAGUGCAUCUUUCAAGCAAGCUCCCUCGAGGGGCCAGGCUCGGACGGACCCAGCGGGCAGGCAACCCGAGGUGCUCCUGAGUGGGGUCUCGACUGGGAAGGGGGCGCCCAGGACGCAGGUGGGGUUCCUGCCACACGACACUGAGGGGUGGGGGGACAGACGCUGCAGAGACCCUGCGAAAGGCCCCUCCCGAUGGGUAAACUCACACUUGGUACACGCUGGCAGGGGCAUCUGGGCCUGCACUCUGGAAUUGGUGGUGGUCCUGGGAAGGUUUUUUGGGCCAGGGACAAGAGUACUUGGGUUUGCUUUCUGGAAAAAUGAAAAAAGAGAAGUUUCUGUGUUC